GUGGGGAAUCUUGCGCAAUGGGCGAAAGCCUGACGCAGCCAUGCCGCGGGAAUGAUGAAGGUAUUAGGAUUGUAAAAUUCUUUCACCGGGGACGAUAAUGACGGUACCCGGAGAAGAAGCUCCGGCUAACUUAGUGCCAGCAGGCGCGGUAAUACGAAGGGGGCUAGCGUUGCUCGGAAUUACUGGGCGGAAAGGGCGCGGAGGCGGACAGCGUAGUCAGAGGUGAAAGCCCAGGGCUCAACCUUGGAAUUGCCUUUGAUACUGGCUGUCUUGAGUUUGGGGGAUGUGAGUGGAACUCCGAGUGUAGAGGUGAAAUUCGUAGAUAUUCGGAAGAACACCAGUGGCGAAGGCGACUCACUGGCCCAAUACUGACGCUGAGGCGCGAGAGCGUGGGGAGCAAACAGGAUUAGAUACCCGGGUAGUCC
rnacentral:rRNA from 1 species